rnacentral:rRNA from 1 species
GACGAACGCUGGCGGCGUGCUUAACACAUGCAAGUCGAACGAAGAGCGAUGGAAGCUUGCUUCUAUCAAUCUUAGUGGCGAACGGGUGAGUAACGCGUAAUCAACCUGCCCUUCAGAGGGGGACAACAGUUGGAAACGACUGCUAAUACCGCAUACGAUCCAAUCUCGGCAUCGAGACUGGAUGAAAGGUGGCCUCUAUUUAUAAGCUAUCACUGAAGGAGGGGAUUGCGUCUGAUUAGCUAGUUGGAGGGGUAACGGCCCACCAAGGCGAUGAUCAGUAGCCGGUCUGAGAGGAUGAACGGCCACAUUGGGACUGAGACACGGCCCAGACCGGGGGGAAUCUUCCGCAAAGGACGAAAGUCUGACGGAGCAACGCCGCGUGAGUGAUGACGGCCUUCGGGUUGUAAAGCUCUGUUAAUCGGGACGAAUGGUUCUUGUGCGAAUAGUGCGAGGAUUUGAUGGUACCGGAAUAGAAAGCC